rnacentral:rRNA from 1 species
CCGGCGCACGGGUGAGUAACACGUAUCCAACCUGCCGUCUACUCUUGGCCAGCCUUCUGAAAGGAAGAUUAAUCCAGGAUGGGAUCAUGAGUUCACAUGUCCGCAUGAUUAAAGGUAUUCCGGUAGACGAUGGGGAUGCGUUCCAUUAGAUAGUAGGCGGGGUAACGGCCCACCUAGUCUUCGAUGGAUAGGGGUUCUGAGAGGAAGGUCCCCCACAUUGGAACUGAGACACGGUCCAA